CAUAUGGAUUCCUACGGGAGGCAGCAGUGGGGAAUAUUGCACAAUGGGCGCAAGCCUGAUGCAGCAACGCCGCGUGAGGGACGAAGGCCUUCGGGUUGUAAACCUCUUUUAGUAGGGAAGAAGCGACUGGGUUUUCCUGGGAGUGACGGUACCUGCAGAAAAAGCACCGGCUAACUACGUGCCAGCAGCCGCGGUAAUACGUAGGGUGCAAGCGUUGUCCGGAAUUAUUGGGCGUAAAGAGCUCGUAGGCGGUUUGUCGCGUCUGUUGUGAAAACCCGAGGCUCAACCUCGGGCCUGCAGUGGGUACGGGCAGACUAGAGUGCGGUAGGGGAGAUUGGAAUUCCUGGUGUAGCGGUGGAAUGCGCAGAUAUCAGGAGGAACACCAAUGGCGAAGGCAGAUCUCUGGGCCGUAACUGACGCUGAGGAGCGAAAGCAUGGGGAGCGAACAGGAUUAGAUACCCUGGUAGUCCAUGCCGUAAACGUUGGGAACUAGAUGUGGGGACCAUUCCACGGUCUCCGUGUCGCAGCUAACGCAUUAAGUUCCCCGCCUGGGGAGUACGGCCGCAAGGCUAAAACUCAAAGGAAUUGACGGGGGCCCGCACAAGCGGCGGAGCAUGCGGAUUAAUUCGAUGCAACGCGAAGAACCUUACCAAGGCUUGACAUAUACCGGAAACGGCUGGAAACAGUCGCCCCGCAAGGUCGGUAUACAGGUGGUGCAUGGUUGUCGUCAGCUCGUGUCGUGAGAUGUUGGGUUAAGUCCCCGCAACGAGCGCAAC
rnacentral:rRNA from 1 species